ACUUCCUGGGAAACAGAAUAAAAUCUGUCCUGUCUGCAAAAUGUGAAAAUGUAAAGUAUGGAAUUGUGUAUUGGUGUCAUUGAUUCUAUCACAUUUCUGCAUUUCAGAAGACUGCUAAAAUAACUGCAGAAUUUCUACAGCGACAACAGCACAGAAAAACACAACUGCUCUGCAUUUUAUGUAACUGAUAUCACUGUGUAUAGGAAGAUGGAGAAGUGAUACAUAUUGGACCAAAUUCAUCUCUGGUGUAACAUCACGGCUUGGUCCAGCUCCCUUUCACAGAGGGGUGAAUGUUCUCCAAGUGGCUAAAUGCAGCAAUUUGGAGUGAGACUAGUAAAAUGGAAUCUAUGUCAGUUCCCUGAGAAUAACAAGAGACUGCACCACUUCCUGUCUAGCACUAUGAAGACAAGCACCAAGACAAGAGAUGCUGCUAUGUUUGUUACUGUAGUAUAAGGUUCUUAUUCCUAACCGGUAUUAGAGCUGCCUGGAAGAUGAUGAUUCUCUUUUAUGGCCAUUUUUGAGAUUUAAAGAUUUGUGUUUGUUCUUCAUUGGACUAAAAAAAAU